ACUGAUCUUAUUAAGCAACCAUUUGCAUAAUAAGAUUAUGCACUUUCCACUUGGGCGGCGCCAUCUUGGCUACUCCUUGCUGUACUGGCGGCUGCGAAGAGAAGACGGAGCCACCAUUUUGAUCAUGCCUAGUCCCAGGUGAUUUGGACCAAGCUUCUCACCAGCUUUUCCCAAAUUUAAGCCGACCUGGGACACCUUGACUCCAAGCCCACCAGUAAGUCCCACAUGCCGCAGGGCCUCUCACCAUCUCUGCUGAGAAGGGACCCUUACUGGCAGCUAGGAUCCUUGAGACCAUCGUCAAGGACAACCUGGCUAAGGUGGGGUUGGUCCAGGACAUCCUGACUGGGAAAGCAGCAGCUGUGAAGUUCAUUGAUGAGACUCAGCAGAUCUCCAGCCUCUAGACACCAUCCACAAAGUAGGAAUCAUUAAGGCUCGGAUCACCCCAAUAUAGUGAAGGAUUUGCUGUGAUUGAUAGUGAGGAAUCUCUGUCUCAUCACCAAGCAUGCUAGCAAGAAGUUUGUGAAUACCUACUCAGAGCAGGAAAGAGGCCUGAAGCAAAUUCCACCAAAAGUGUCUGCUGUGCAAGCUGUCACCAGAAGUGUAUUGUCCAUGUUAACAUGAACAUCAGAGGUUGGGUUCAGGAAUAAAUUCACCUUUCACAGCAAGCUGGGUACCUUUUGUGGUAGUCCCCUUAGGCUGCCCUGGAAUUCUUCUAGAGCCACAGAUAUGAGCUGGUGGAUGCAUGGAGUCUGGGAGUUAUCCUGUAUAUACUGGGAAGCGGAUCCUUAUUUUUCGAUGGACAGAACCUCAAGGAGCUAUGAGAGCAGGUACUGAGCAGGAUGUAUUCCAUUCCCUCCUCCAUGUCCCUGGAGAGUGAAAACUUGCUGAGGAAAUUUCUCAUUGUCAAUUGCAGCGAGAGGCCCUUCAGAGCACAGUGUGAGGGAUCCAUGGAUGAAUGCGGGUCAUGAAGGUGAGGAACUUAAGCGCUGUAUGCAGCCACUCUCCCACUGGGAGGACCCCCUGCAAACUAAGUUCAUGGUAUCCACGGGUUACAGACAGGAAGAGAUCCAGGACUUGCUGAGGACUAUGAGGACGCGUGGUCACCUGCCUGCUCCUGGGUUCUCUUUCAUCCCAGGAGGUACAGCUCAGGGUCUCUGCCAGCCCAGAGCAGCGGUGGUUUCAGCAACCUGCCUUUCCCAUCUUUCACGGCCUAAGAAGACUCAGAGGAGCCACCCAGAGCCUCAACAGGAUCAGGAGACAGCGUGGAAGGGCAGCAACACAGAAACGGGCCAGCCAGCUCCCUACUAGCCUGGAGGGGACGAACCCCGCCCCUGCUGUGAACAGCGACCUCUCCACCAACACCAAAAAGAGCAGGAAUUCCUCACUCGGGGCGAAAGCCAGUUUGGCCGGACCUCCACCCAGAACGACAACGGCAGCCCCACAGCGCUGGGGCCUGAGGCCUCCUGGGCUCUUGCUUCUCACCUCUACCCCGUCUCCCCGGCCACCAGCCCGGGAAUCCCAGUUGGUCUCCUUGCAGCCCAACCAGGCCUCGGUGCUGCACCCCACGGUGAGCAGCUGGGAGGUGCCCGCCCGGCACAGCUCCCUCAGAGUGUCCCUGCGGCCUCCCUUCUACCCGCUUCAUCAGCGGAGUGGGCAGAGCCCCGGGUGGGACCAGGUACGCGCGGCCGGGCAGCCCAACAGGGUGACUCCAGCCUCUCCCUCUGGCAAAGGCGGCGGCCAGCAGGGGGCCGCCGGGAGCUUCUUCAGCAAGUUCAAGUUCACAGGCUGGACUCAGCUGCCGGUUUGCCCGAAGGAGCCUGAAGGCAAAGACGGGGGAGGACACGAUUCACAAUGAGAAAUUAGAGUCACUUUUUGGUACAGAAAAAAGAAAAAAAA
rnacentral:lncRNA from 1 species